GUAGUCCCGGCUGUAAACGAUGUCGACUUGGAGGUUGUGCCCUUGAGGCGUGGCUUCCGGAGCUAACGCGUUAAGUCGACCGCCUGGGGAGUACGGCCGCAAGGUUAAAACUCAAAUGAAUUGACGGGGGCCCGCACAAGCGGUGGAGCAUGUGGUUUAAUUCGAUGCAACGCGAAGAACCUUACCUGGUCUUGACAUCCACGGAAGUUUUCAGAGAUGAGAAUGUGCCUUCGGGAACCGUGAGACAGGUGCUGCAUGGCUGUCGUCAGCUCGUGUUGUGAAAUGUUGGGUUAAGUCCCGCAACGAGCGCAACCCUUAUCUUUUGUUGCCAGCGGUCCGGCCGGGAACUCAAAGGAGACUGUUAGUGAUAAACUGGAGGAAGGUGGGGAUGACGUCAAGUCAUCAUGGCCCUUACGACCAGGGCUACACACGUGCUACAAUGGCGCAUACAAAGAGAAGCGACCUCGCGAGAGCAAGCGGACCUCAUAAAGUGCGUCGUAGUCCGGAUUGGAGUCUGCAACUCGACUCCAUGAAGUCGGAAUCGCUAGUAAUCGUGGAUCAGAAUGCCACGGUGAAUACGUUCCCGGGCCUUGUACACACCGCCCGUCACACCAUGGGAGUGGGUUGCAAAAGAAGUAGGUAGCUUAACCUUCGGGAGGGCGCUUACCACUUUGUGAUUCAUGACUGGGGUGAAGUCGUAACAAGGUAACCGUAGGGGAACCUGCGGCUGGAUCACCUCC
rnacentral:rRNA from 1 species